GACGAACGCUGGCGGCGUGCUUAACACAUGCAAGUCGAACGGAAAGGCCCUGCUUUUGUGGGGUGCUCGAGUGGCGAACGGGCGAGUAACACGUGAGUAACCUGCCCUUGACUUUGGGAUAACUUCAGGAAACUGGGGCGAAUAUCGGAUAGGAGCUCCUGCUGCACGGUGGGGGUUGGAAAGUUUCGGCGGUUGGGGAUGGACUCGCGGCUUAUCAGCUUGUUGGUGGGGUAGUGGCUUACCAAGGCUUUGACGGGUAGCCGGCCUGAGAGGGUGACCGGCCACAUUGGGCCUGAGGUACGGCCCAGACUCCUACGGGAGGCAGCAGUGGGGAAUAUUGCACAAUGGGCGGAAGCCUGAUGCAGCAACGCCGCGUGCGGGAUGACGGCCUUCGGGUUGUAAACCGCUUUCGCCUGUGACGAAGCGUGAGUGACGGUAAUGGGUAAAGAAGCACCGGCUAACUACGUG
rnacentral:rRNA from 1 species